rnacentral:tRNA from 1 species
UCCUCGUUAGCUCAGUGGUAGAGCGAUCGACUGUUAAUCGAUUGGUCAAAGGUUCAAAUCCUUUACGAGGAG